AGUAAAGGCUCACCAAGCAAGAUUUCUCUCAUCCCCUGCCACUCCCUGUUUAAUGCCUUUGUAACAACUACAAUUUGGUGAAUCCCGAUACUACAAUAGCCAAUUUAGGAUCAUGAUCAGAAGGUUCAGGGUACUGUUUCCUAAACUGAGAUAAAUCUCAUCAAAUAAAUGAUUCCUGCUUGAAGUGUCUCCUCUAGUGAACAGACCAUCAGUAACCACCCAAUUAUCACAACUUCUUUUCUAAAGUAAGUAAACAAAACUUCAUUUUGCAGCAUCAUCAGGUUCAACAGAGUCAGAAAAAUAAACAUAAACAGCAGAUAAGUGAAGAAUAAAGUGAAGUCCCAUAUGGGUUUUUGUUCAGACGGUCAUGCAAUGUAAUUUAAUAGAAUGAGCACUAGACAGAAAGCCAGAUUCUGGUACUUGCUUUGUUUUUCAUUGGAUUAUCAGGUUAGAUGAACUACAAAAUGAGGAAGCCAACUGGAAAUCUGGACCUAAAACAGGAUUCAUCCCCUGGGCUUGAAGUCACGCUGGGUACAAAGAUGCCCAUGAAUAAUGGCCCAGGAAAAGCCCAGGCAACUUCCCAUGAAAAAAAUUAUGACAAAGUAUAUUUCCUGGCGCUGUGUCAAGCUCUCAGGAGUGAAUAUAUGGAUAGGAGCCUCGACUCUGCAGGUGUUAGCGCUGCAAGGGCCGAACCCAACCGCCAGAAUGUCUGCCGAGCCUAGCAUGGGAUGCUGCCCAGCAAAACAGCGCCCAGGGAGAGGGCGACUGAGGAAGAGAGCCUGUAAGCGCGCUUCAGAAGGGACUGGGACCAGAGCCCUGGAAAACUAGAGCGAGUGGAUUCCCUGGCAGGGGGAACCCGCGGGAGCCUGGAAAAAAAACGAGAGGGAGAGAAAGAAACUCACCCCCGCGCUGUGAAGCCCGGCGCAGGCAAGCGGGUGAGCGCGCAGGCUGGCUAGGCUGCUCCAGCUGGAAGUCAUUCUGCGGGCUGGCGUCUGCGUUGCCAGGGCGACCGCCCGGCCGGCGCCAGCGAAGG
rnacentral:lncRNA from 1 species